AGAGUUUGAUCCUGGCUCAGGAUGAACGCUGGCGGCGUGCCUAAUACAUGCAAGUCGAGCGAACGGACGAGAAGCUUGCUUCUCUGAUGUUAGCGGCGGACGGGUGAGUAACACGUGGAUAACCUACCUAUAAGACUGGGAUAACUUCGGGAAACCGGAGCUAAUACCGGAUAAUAUUUUGAACCGCAUGGUUCAAAAGUGAAAGACGGUCUUGCUGUCACUUAUAGAUGGAUCCGCGCUGCAUUAGCUAGUUGGUAAGGUAACGGCUUACCAAGGCAACGAUGCAUAGCCGACCUGAGAGGGUGAUCGGCCACACUGGAACUGAGACACGGUCCAGACUCCUACGGGAGGCAGCAGUAGGGAAUCUUCCGCAAUGGGCGAAAGCCUGACGGAGCAACGCCGCGUGAGUGAUGAAGGUCUUCGGAUCGUAAAACUCUGUUAUUAGGGAAGAACAUAUGUGUAAGUAACUGUGCACAUCUUGACGGUACCUAAUCAGAAAGCCACGGCUAACUACGUGCCAGCAGCCGCGGUAAUACGUAGGUGGCAAGCGUUAUCCGGAAUUAUUGGGCGUAAAGCGCGCGUAGGCGGUUUUUUAAGUCUGAUGUGAAAGCCCACGGCUCAACCGUGGAGGGUCAUUGGAAACUGGAAAACUUGAGUGCAGAAGAGGAAAGUGGAAUUCCAUGUGUAGCGGUGAAAUGCGCAGAGAUAUGGAGGAACACCAGUGGCGAAGGCGACUUUCUGGUCUGUAACUGACGCUGAUGUGCGAAAGCGUGGGGAUCAAACAGGAUUAGAUACCCUGGUAGUCCACGCCGUAAACGAUGAGUG
rnacentral:rRNA from 1 species